rnacentral:rRNA from 1 species
UACAGAGGGGGCAAGCGUUGUUCGGAAUUACUGGGCGUAAAGGGCGCGUAGGUGGCCUUCUAAGUUGAACGUGAAAUCCCUGGGCUCAACCCAGGAACUGCGUCCAAGACUGGGAGGCUUGAAUCCGGGAGAGGGAUGCGGAAUUCCAGGUGUAGCGGUGAAAUGCGUAGAGAUCGGGAGGAACAUCAGUGGCGAAGGCGGCCAUCUGGGACAACACUGACGCUGAGGCACGAAAGCGUGGGGAGCAAACAGG